rnacentral:rRNA from 1 species
AMUGCAAGUCGAACGGCAGCACAGCAGAGCUUGCUCUGUGGGUGGCGAGUGGCGGACSCGCYUGAGGAAUACAUGGGAAUCUGCCCAGUCGUGGGGGAUAACGUAUGGAAACGUACGCUAAUACCGCAUGCGCCCUACGGGGGAAAGCCGGGGACCGCAAGGCCUGGCGCGAUUGGAUGAGCUCAUGUUCGAUUAGCUAGUUGGCGGGGUAAAGGCCCACCAAGGCGACGAUCGAUAGCUGGUCUGAGAGGAUGAUCAGCCACACUGGAACUGAGACACGGUCCAGACUCCUACGGGAGGCAGCAGUAGGGAAUAUUGGACAAUGGGGGCAACCCUGAUCCAGCCAUGCCGCGUGAGUGAAGAAGGCCCUCGGGUUGUAAAGCUCUUUUGUCCGGAAAGAAAAGCAAUCGGUUAAUACCCGGUUGUUCUGACGGUACCGGAAGAAUAAGCACCGGCUAACUUCGUGCCAGCAGCCGCGGUAAUACGAAGGGUGCAAGCGUUACUCGGAAUUACUGGGCGUAAAGCGUGCGUAGGUGGUUCGUUAAGUCUGAUGUGAAAGCCCUGGCUCAACCUGGGAAUGGCAUUGGAUACUGGCGGGCUAGAGUGCGGUAGAGGGUAGUGGAAUUCUCGGUGUAGCAGUGAAAUGCGUAGAGAUCGGGAGGAACAUCUGUGGCGAAGGCGACUGCCUGGACCAGCACUGACACUGAGGCACGAAAGCGUGGGGAGCAAACAGGAUUACAUACCCCUGGUAGUCCACGCCCCUGAACGAUGCGAACUGGAUGUUGGGUUCCAACUUUGGAACUCAGUAUCGAARSCUAACGCGUUAAAGUUUCGCCCGCUCUGGGGGAGUA